AAUGAACGUUGGCGGCGUGGAUUAGGCAUGCAAGUCGAACGGGCCACAAGGCCAGUGGCGCAAGGGUGAGUAAGGCGACGGUAACCAACCCCGCAAUUGGGUAUAGCCGCGGGAAACCGCGGGUAAUCCCCAGCGACGCACGACGUCGGCAUCGACGUUGUGCCAAAGCUCCGGCGUUGUGGGACGGGCUGUCGUGGUAUUAGCUAGUUGGCGGGGUAACGGCCCACCAAGGCGGCGAUGCCUACCGGGCGUGCGAGCGUGGCCCGGCACACUGGGACUGAGACACUGCCCAGACUCCUACGGGAGGCUGCAGUCGAGAAUCUUCGGCAAUGGGCGCAAGCCUGACCGAGCGACGCCGCGUGGAGGACGAAGGCCUUCGGGUUGUAAACUCCUGUCGAGGGGGAAAAAGGACGGCAACGUCUUGAUUGAUCCCUGGAGGAAGCACGGGCUAAGUUCGUGCCAGCCGCCGCCGUAAAAC
rnacentral:rRNA from 1 species